AACGCAAAUUCACAGCCAAUCGCAGUACAUACAGUAUCCCAUUGAGGUUGAACCCCUUCGGGGCGUUCUUGACCCAUGACAUAUGUGGAUGUGUAUUGCAACAUUUUAUGUUUUUUUUAAAGCUUGGACUGGAGACUAAACGUCACAUCUAUUGAUCUUGGGUGCAACGGUCCAUCAGUUGUCUGCUCUCGUGGCAGAUCUAAAGGACUGCCUUCGUGCGCCUGUAUGGGGACGGUUGCAAGGAUCAAUAGAACAUCC
rnacentral:snoRNA from 1 species